rnacentral:rRNA from 1 species
AAUUUUGCGCAAUGGGCGAAAGCCUGACGCAGCAACGCCGCGUGAAUGACGAAGCCCUUCGGGGUGUAAAGUUCUGUCAGUAGGGAAGAAUUUUGACUGUACCUACAAAGGAAGCACCGGCUAACUCCGUGCCAGCAGCCGCGGUAAUACGGAGGGUGCAAGCGUUGUCCGGAAUCAUUGGGCGUAAAGCGUUCGUAGGCGGCAUACCAAGUCUGGUGUUAAAGCCCGGGGCUCAACUCCGGUUCGGCACUGGAUACUGGUAAGCUAGAAUGUGGUAGAGGUAAUGGGAAUUCCUGGUGUAGCGGUGAAAUGCGUAGAUAUCAGGAGGAACAUCGGUGGCGUAAGCGCAUUACUGGGCCAUUAUUGACGCUGAGGAACGAAAGCCGGGGGAGCAAAUGGG